GCAUGGAUGAAUACUGUGUUCUCUUUGUCAGUAGUCAACACAGCCAGACACCAUGCGAAAGCACAUUCUUCUCCUUUGAAACAGUCUAAUGGGAUGCUAAGGGUUGUGGUAGGCAUGCCAUUACUAAAGGAGAUCACAGGU
rnacentral:snoRNA from 1 species